CACUCGCUCCUUGUCCUCUUGGUCAGCUUUCUGCCUUCUCCUUGUGCACUGCCUGGGCUGAGUAGAGCUGGAUAUGGGUUUGAGACACCCGUGCUUGUAGUGGAGACAGCAAGUGCUGUGCAGGUGGCACCAGCCGUGGAGAUGGUGAGAGAUGCUUUUAGAAAUAUUGCAUCCUUGGACGAUUGGACUGUGUCUAGUCCACAGCAAUGGCACAGAGACGAUGGAAGGAACUGUGGUGUUUUCGUAUGCACAGUGAGUUAACUGUAUCAUGUUAAUGUUGUUAAUAUGUAUUCUAUAAUAUAAUACAUGAUUGAUGAAUAUAACUGAUUCGGUUAAAUAAUUCUUUGAGUAGAUGGCAGAGAUGGAAGCUAAAAGUAUUAAAAUGUACCAGGAAAUUCUGCACACUGAACAGAUGGGAUACCUUCGUCUUUACCAUGACUCAUGCAUGGUGAAACAUCUGCAACCAGAGGACUUUUCACCCGGAGUCAAAAUAGUCCAGAGUGCAACACAGACCAGCUGUAUGGCCCAGGAUGAAGGAGUUUGCAUUUAUCAAAAAUAUCGAUC